GACGAACGCUGGCGGCGUGCUUAACACAUGCAAGUCGAACGGAAAGGCCCUGCUUUUGUGGGGUGCUCGAGUGGCGAACGGGUGAGUAACACGUGAGUAACCUGCCCUUGACUUUGGGAUAACUUCAGGAAACUGGGGCUAAUACCCGAUAGGAGCUCCUGCUGCAUGGUGGGGGUUGGAAAGUUUCGGCGGUUGGGGAUGGACUCGCGGCGUAUCAGCUUGUUGGUGAGGUAGUGGCUUACCAAGGCUUUGACGGGUAGCCGGCCUGAGAGGGUGACCGGCGACCUUGCGACUGAGGUACGGAGCAGACUCCUACGGGAGGCAGUAGUGGAGAAUAUUGCACAAUGAGCGGAAGUCUGAUGCAGCGGCGCCGCGUGCGUGAUGACGGCCUUCGGGUUGUAAACCGCUUUCGCCUGUGACGAAGCGUGAGUGACGGUAAUGGAUAAAGAAGCACCGGCUAACUACGUG
rnacentral:rRNA from 1 species